rnacentral:rRNA from 1 species
CCUACGGGUGGCAGCAGUGAGGAAUAUUGGUCAAUGGGCGUAAGCCUGAACCAGCCAAGUCGCGUGAGGGAUGAAGGUUCUAUGGAUCGUAAACCUCUUUUAUAAGGGAAUAAAGUGCGGGACGUGUCCCGUUUUGUAUGUACCUUAUGAAUAAGGAUCGGCUAACUCCGUGCCAGCAGCCGCGGUAAUACGGAGGAUCCGAGCGUUAUCCGGAUUUAUUGGGUUUAAAGGGUGCGUAGGCGGCCUUUUAAGUCAGAGGUGAAAGUCUGUGGCUCAACCAUAGAAUUGCCGUUGAAACUGGGAGUCUUGAGUAUGUUUGAGGCAGGCGGAAUUCGUGGUGUAGCGGUGAAAUGCUUAGAGAUCACGCAGAACACCGAUUGCGAAGGCAGCUUGCCAAGCCAUGAUUGACGCUGAGGCACGAAAGCGUGGGGAUCAAACAGGAUUAGAUACCCUAGUAGUC